AGCGAACGCUGGCGGCAGGCUUAACACAUGCAAGUCGAACGCCCGUAGCAAUACGGGAGUGGCAGACGGGUGAGUAACGCGUGGGAACAUGCCCUUUGGUUCGGAAUAACUCAGGGAAACUUGAGCUAAUACCGGAUAAGCCCGAGAGGGGAAAGAUUUAUCGCCGAAGGAUUGGCCCGCGUCCGAUUAGCUAGUUGGUGAGGUAAUGGCUCACCAAGGCGACGAUCGGUAGCUGGUCUGAGAGGAUGAUCAGCCACACUGGGACUGAGACACGGCCCAGACUCCUACGGGAGGCAGCAGUGGGGAAUAUUGGACAAUGGGGGCAACCCUGAUCCAGCCAUGCCGCGUGAGUGAUGAAGGCCCUAGGGUUGUAAAGCUCUUUCGGCGGGGACGAUAAUGACGGUACCCGCAGAAGAAGCCCCGGCUAACUUCGUGCCAGCCGCCGCAGUAAUAC
rnacentral:rRNA from 1 species